GCCUGCGGCAGCCCCUCCUGCCCAUCGGUCUUGCCCUGGGACUUGCAGAGGACCUGGUGUUGCCCUGGCUGCGCUGCAGCCUCUCCUGGACAGGGGCUGCAAUGGGGGCCCUGUCCGAUGCCUCCCACCUGCCAUGGCUCCAGGCGGGCGGGGAACUAGACAGGGCCAUGGGCACAUGCUGAGGUGGGAGCUCUGUAGCCGCCAGCCCCUCCCCAUCCCUUCCAUCCGCAGGGCUGUGGCUGCUGUUCUGCGAGUCCCUGUGAUGGGUCUUAUUUUGUCUCUUAGCCCCUGUUGGUUUCCUCCCUGAAGACAGACCUCCGCCUUCCCUGGGAGUUUAGGGAGGUUGUACUGGCUGCUUUUAGGGGAGCCCAGUGGGAGCCGUCGUGCCCUCGAGGACAGCAGGUCCGGGUGGGCCUUUGUGAACUCAGGACUUGAGCGUGUUUAUCUCCUCCCCGGGUGUGGACAUGUGAACUCCACUUGGAGACGUCGACUCGCCUCAACCUUGUGUGGGUUGGGGUUCGCUGAUGGGUGGAGAGGAUGCUAUGAGUAGGUGGAGGGGCCGGGGACACACCUCUCCACGGACCUCGUGUGCCCAAGUGUGAGCGGAUGCUGGGCGUGAGCUGCUGUAAAAAUGUCUGUGGCUGUCUCUGUCGUGUGGGUGCCAAGUGCUUGUGUAGAAACUGUUCUGCCCCCUUUUCUGGACAUGACUCCAUGUCCCAAUGAAUGUAUCACUGCCGUGAGCCAUUUGCAGUGGGCAAUGUCAGAAGACACAGCCCAGCCACAGGUCAGCUGAGCCACAGACCCCAGAGCCACGCUCCUGUGGCGUCUCUGGCCACCAUACACCCACUGUGGACCAACCCUGCCCUCCUCCGUGGGCCGUGAGAGCCCUGGGCUGAGUGCGUUCUGCUUGGCAUGGUUUGAGGCCCGAUGCCUGAGCCCGCCGUCGUUCCUCCAGUGAAUGUAUAGUACACGCAGUAAGCUGAUGCUCGUGUGUUCCACUCAGAAUAAAAGGUUUACAAGA